GAUGAACGCUGGCGGCGUGCCUAAUACAUGCAAGUCGAGCGAACAGACGAGGAGCUUGCUCCUCUGACGUUAGCGGCGGACGGGUGAGUAACACGUGGAUAACCUACCUAUAAGACUGGGAUAACUUCGGGAAACCGGAGCUAAUACCGGAUAAUAUAUUGAACCGCAUGGUUCAAUAGUGAAAGACGGUUUUGCUGUCACUUAUAGAUGGAUCCGCGCCGCAUUAGCUAGUUGGUAAGGUAACGGCUUACCAAGGCAACGAUGCGUAGCCGACCUGAGAGGGUGGUCGGCCACACUGGAGCUGAGACACGGUCCAGACUCCUACGGGAGGCAGCAGUAGGGAAUCUUCCGCAAUGGGCGAAAGCUUGACGGAGCAACGCCGCGUGAGUGAUGAAGGUCUUCGGAUCGUAAAACUCUGUUAUUAGGGAAGAACAAAUGUGUAAGUAACUAUGCCCGUCUUGACGGUACCUAAUCAGAAAGCCACGGCUAACUACGUG
rnacentral:rRNA from 1 species